AAUUCCUUAGAAGAGGAGAUAGCAUAGCUUUCCCUCUCUCUAGUUGGACUCCGAGAAUAAAAAAUACCGCCUGAACCCAAAACCAAAAGGAAAUGGUUCACGAAUUCCCUCUGAUUGAGAAGAACUGUUCAAGCAGUAUGCUUUCUCUCAAGCUCGAAGAUUUUCGUGAAAGGCUCUCUACCCAAUUUAGACCCUGGCAUCGUUCCUUCCAAUUCUGGAUACGGGCAGUUGAUAUCUACACUGGGUACAAGGUGUUACAACUUCAAGCGAGUUUCGUGAAGGAUGUGCAGAAGCAGGAGGCAAUGUGGGAAAGACAGCAUGAACUUGCGGCGGAUAAGAUACAUGCUAUGUGCUGUGACCUUGGUGGGUUUUUCCUCAAGGUUGCUCAAAUUAUUGGGAAGCCUGACUUGGCCCCAGCAGCAUGGGUGAGAAGGCUUGUGACACUCUGUGAUCAUGCCCCUGCAACCUCUUUUGAUAUGGUUCAACUUGUGUUGGAGAAGGAGUUGGGUAGAAGUGUUGGUGAAAUUUUUGAAAGAUUUGAUGUGGAUCCUCUUGGUUCUGCUUCAAUUGCUCAGGUUCAUAGAGCAAGAUUGAAAGGUGAUAAAAGUGAUGUUGUUGUCAAGGUGCAACAUCCUGGAGUUCAAGAAUUGAUGAUGACAGAUAUACGUAAUUUGCAAGCUUUCGCUUUAUACAUGCAAAAGACAGAUAUCAAAUUUGAUCUAUACUCCGUAACCAAGGAAAUGGAGAAACAGAUUGGAUAUGAAUUUGACUUUAUGAGGGAGGCAAAAGCUAUGGAAAGAAUUCAACAAUUUUUGUAUAAGAACAACAAAAAAUCUCCUGUUUUGGUGCCGCGGGUGAUCCGCGAUAUGGUGACUAGGAGGGUCUUGGUAAUGGAGUAUAUUGAUGGAAUUCCAAUCCUCAAGCUUGGGGAUGAGCUAGCCAAAAGAGGCAUAAAUCCUGGCAGUAAGAUUGCAGCGGUGGCAAAGCAGAAUAUACUUAAAAGCUUGACAUUAGCAUACGGAGAAAUGAUACUGAAGAGUGGUUACUUCCAUGCAGAUCCCCAUCCUGGAAAUAUUCUAAUUUGUAAAGGUUCAGAGGUUGCUCUGCUGGACUAUGGACAAGUGAAGGAUCUGCCAAACGAAUUGAGACUUGGAUAUGCUAAUCUAGUUCUUGCUAUGGCUGAUAAUGAUGCUAUAAGAGCAUCAGCAAGCUACAGGGAGCUUGGCAUAGAUACCUUAAGUAAAUGUGAGGAUGAACUGAAGGAAUUGCUGAAGUUGGCGCAGACAAUGUUUGAUACUAAACUACCCCCUGGAGUUGUGAUGCUGCAACCUUUCUCGGAGGAGUCUUCAAUAAAAAAAAUUGCUGUUCAGGCUUUUCCCGAAGAGCUAUUCUCAGUUCUUCGGACUGUGCACCUACUAAGAGGACUUAGCGUUGGUCUCGGAAUAAACUAUUCUUGUGCUGAGCAAUGGAGACCCAUUGCAGAAGAGGCUCUGUAUUCUGCUGGUAGACUACAAGGUGAGAAGGAUCUGAAGAGUAGAGCGCGUAGGCGCAGUUCUCUUAGAAAAAUAUUUCGGAGAUAGAGGCUUAUCGAGAAUGGUGAGCAGGAAUCACUCUUGGAACUUGGUAUCUCAAUCUUGGAGGUAUAUAAUUUUCUACUGGGCAUUUCAGACGCCUUCUUUUGGGAAGGACUUGGCGGGGGUGGGGAAGGCAAUAGCUGUGGGGCAUUUGGAAUUCAACAUAUUGCUGUCAUACAUGCUUACUUUGAACUUCUCCCAAGAGAAUCUGCCGCUGAAUUCCUUCAGAUAUUCCUCAUAACAAUGUAAUUGAUAGAAAUUGAUGUGGAAAUCGAGUAUAUGAUGCACAGUGGAAUAAUUAAACUUGCAGCAAAUGAUGAAGCACCAAGAACACAAAUUCAUACGCAA